ACAGCAAGCCGGCCUGUCGCUCCGAAAGGGGAGGAAAGUCCGGACAACGCAGAGCGCCGCGCUUCCUAACGGGAAGAUGGUCGUGAGACCAUGAAGGUGUAACAGAAAAUAACCGCCUACGGGCAAGGGUGAAAAGGUGGGGUAAGAGCCCACCGGUUCGGAUGGUGACAUCCGAAGCCGUACACCCCGCGGGUUGCAAGACCAUGUAUAUCCCGGUUCCUUUUAGGUACGGGGUUGCUCGCUCCGGUUCCUUAGGUUGGAAGCCGGGAAGGGUAGGUCGCUUAAGGGGACAGGUGACUGUCUUCUCAGAUAAAUGACAGGCAUCCUGGCAACAGGAUACAGAAUCCGGCUUACAGGUUUGCUGUUUUU
rnacentral:RNase_P_RNA from 2 species